rnacentral:lncRNA from 1 species
GUUCCAGCUCCUCUGAUGCUCUGGGUGAGUUCUGCUGUGUCUAUUCUGACUGCUAGCUGGUGAUGUGCUGGGCAGCUCCUACCUGUUCACGAGAGCUGAUCCUUGGCCUCUCUUUCCAACUCCAUGCUCAGUGACCAUCAUGUUGGUAACUUGAAAUCAGCCAUAUUGGGACUAUUUACACCACAGAAAUCAGCAAACAAUACAAUAGGGCUCUUGCCUCUGGAGAGUCUCUUGUUCGACAUUUACAUGCAUGGUAGUGGGGACCCUUCAUUCUUUCUGCAACUCCUCUGGGCCUGAUCAUCUGACCUGAAGACUCAAGUGUAGCCCUUUCAAGGGAAGACCUCAGAAGUUUUCUUAUGUACACAGACUGGCCUUGCAUUUCAGAGAGAAUACAGCUAAAUCCAUGCCAAAGUCUACAGAACAACUCUCAACUUAGCUAUGGAAACAGAACACCAGGAAACAAAAAAGUCUAAAAGUAUACAUUAAUCUCAGGACUAACCCCACCACUAAUGACAUCUGCUCAGCACAGCCAAAGCAUUUUCUUUCUGCCAAGCUCCCUCCUGGUGAUGCUGGCUCCAGGGGCCAAGGCCUUCACCUGAGCUCUCUGAUGCAAAUCUUCCAGACCCUAAAUAACUGUGCCCUUCAUGCCACUCUUUGAAUGUUUCUGGCUUGGAAACACUGCUGUCCCAUAGCAAGGAGAGCCUGGAAGAAAAUGAGUCCCUUACAGGGACAAAAGGAAGUAUUUUGAGUGCUCAAAUCCUGUUCCAAUUUGUGUCCCUCUGAAGCCUGAGGAACUACCCUGCCCCUCGGUGGCAUGCAGUUCAGAUUUGCUGGACUUAGGACCACAUUUGUGGUUUACAAUGGCUGCUUAGUGCUGCUCCACACUUGCCUUUAUAUCCCUCUGAAGAAGGACUCAUUAAGCUACUAUACAGGCAAGCUCAUGUUCAAUUCAUACCCAUCCUGCCUCCACUACCACUCCCCUGGCUUGGAGAGUUUUAGAAAAUUUCUUUGUGUGACUUUUCCAAACUCUGACACUGGGACCAAUGAGAGGGCAAUUCGGCUGCUCAAAGCCUUUCGUGAAUGUCUCUGAUUUGCCUCCAGAAGUCACUGACAUAAAUUGGAACAGGACAAUACUCCAAAUCAACAAUGGACAUUAGGUGAAGUCCCUCACCAUUCUUUUUAUCAAGUAAGUGAGCAAACAAGAGAGAUGCUGUCACUCCAGAGACAUAUGAACCCAGGUCGACCCAGAGAUGUCAUGAUCAGGGCAGGGGAGUAACAGCUAAAAUAGUUUUUCAAAUUGGUUCUCUCAUUCAUGCCUUUCUCUAUCCCCCCCCACCACCACCCAAACCAGUCCCACUACCACCAUCUGUGUCCUAGUGUGAUUCACCUCAGAACUAUUUUUUUAAUUAACUUUUUAUUUGUAAGUACUUAUAGAUUCAUAUGUAGUUGUAAGAAAUAAUACAGAGAAAGUCUGUGUACCCUUUACCCACUUUCCCUCAAUGUUAACAUCCUGCAAAACUAUAGUAAAUAUCAUAAUCAAUAUAGCAGUGUUAAUAUAGUCAAGACAGAGAAUAUUUCCAGCGCCACAAGGAUCUCUCAUGUUGCCCUUUUAUAAUCAAAUCCAGUUGCCUCCUGCCCCGACUCACUCCUUAAUCCCUGGAAACCACCAUUCUGUUUUCUAUUUCUAAAAUCUUGUCAAUCAAAAACGGAAUCAUACCAUAUGUAACCUUUUGGAAUUGGCUUUUCCUAUCAGGAGAUUCAACCAGCUUGUGUGUGUAUCAAGUUGGUUCCUUCUUAUUAUUGAGUAGUAUUCCAUGUAUGAAUGUACCACAGUUUAUUCACCCAACGAAAGACAUUUGAAUUGUUUCCAGUUUGGGGCUACUCUAAAUAAGUUUGCUAUAAAUGCUCCUGUACAGGAUUUUGUUCGAGCACAAAUCUUCAUCUCUCUGGAAUAAAUGCUCAAGAGUGCAAUUGCUGGAAGUAUGG